AUACGUAGGGGGCGAGCGUUAUCCGGAUUUAUUGGGCGUAAAGCGCGCGCAGGCGGUCAGGUAAGUCGGAUGUGAAAGGCUACGGCUCAACCGUAGAGCGGCAUCCGAAACUGCUUGACUUGAGUGCAGGAGAGGAGAGUGGAAUUCCCGGUGUAGCGGUGGAAUGCGUAGAGAUCGGGAGGAACACCAGUGGCGAAGGCGACUCUCUGGACUGUAACUGACGCUGAGGCGCGAAAGCGUGGGGAGCAAACAGGAUUAGAUACCCUGGUAGUCCACGCCGUAAACGAUGAGUGCUAGGUGUUGGGGGGACCCCCCUCAGUGCCGCAGGUAACCCAAUAAGCACUCCGCCUGGGGAGUACGGUCGCAAGACUGAA
rnacentral:rRNA from 1 species